rnacentral:rRNA from 1 species
GGUCAAGUGAAGAAGCGCAUACGGUGGAUGCCUUGGCAGUCAGAGGCGAUGAAAGACGUGGUAGCCUGCGAAAAGCUUCGGGGAGUCGGCAAACAGACUGUGAUCCGGAGAUGUCUGAAUGGGGGAACCCAGCCAUCACAAGAUGGUUAUCUUGUACUGAAUACAUAGGUGCAAGAGGCGAACCAGGGGAACUGAAACAUCUAAGUACCCUGAGGAAAAGAAAUCAACCGAGAUUCCCUUAGUAGUGGCGAGCGAACGGGGACUAGCCCUUAAGCUUCUUUGAUUUUAGCGGAACGCUCUGGAAAGUGCGGCCAUAGUGGGUGAUAGCCCUGUACGCGAAAGAUCUUAGCAGUGAAAUCGAGUAGGACGGAGCACGAGAAACUUUGUCUGAAUAUGGGGGGACCAUCCUCCAAGGCUAAAUACUACUGACUGACCGAUAGUGAACCAGUACCGUGAGGGAAAGGCGAAAAGAACCCCGGAGAGGGGAGUGAAAUAGAUCCUGAAACCGUAUGCGUACAAGCAGUGGGAGCCCACUUUGUUGGGUGACUGCGUACCUUUUGUAUAAUGGGUCAGCGACUUAUUUUCAGUGGCGAGCUUAACCGAAUAGGGGAGGCGUAGCGAAAGCGAGUCUUAAUAGGGCGUCUAGUCGCUGGGAAUAGACCCGAAACCGGGCGAUCUAUCCAUGGGCAGGUUGAAGGUUAGGUAACACUGACUGGAGGACCGAACCGACUACCGUUGAAAAGUUAGCGGAUGACCUGUGGAUCGGAGUGAAAGGCUAAUCAAGCUCGGAGAUAGCUGGUUCUCCUCGAAAGCUAUUUAGGUAGCGCCUCAUGUAUCACUGUAGGGGGUAGAGCACUGUUUCGGCUAGGGGGUCAUCCCGACUUACCAAACCGAUGCAAACUCCGAAUACCUACAAGUGCCGAGCAUGGGAGACACACGGCGGGUGCUAACGUCCGUCGUGAAAAGGGAAACAACCCAGACCGUCAGCUAAGGUCCCAAAGUUAUGGUUAAGUGGGAAACGAUGUGGGAAGGCUUAGACAGCUAGGAGGUUGGCUUAGAAGCAGCCACCCUUUAAAGAAAGCGUAAUAGCUCACUAGUCGAGUCGGCCUGCGCGGAAGAUGUAACGGGGCUCAAACCAUACACCGAAGCUACGGGUAUCACGUAAGUGAUGCGGUAGAGGAGCGUUCUGUAAGCCUGUGAAGGUGAGUUGAGAAGCUUGCUGGAGGUAUCAGAAGUGCGAAUGCUGACAUGAGUAACGACAAUGGGUGUGAAAAACACCCACGCCGAAAGACCAAGGUUUCCUGCGCAACGUUAAUCGACGCAGGGUUAGUCGGUCCCUAAGGCGAGGCUGAAAAGCGUAGUCGAUGGAAAACAGGUUAAUAUUCCUGUACUUCUGGUUAUUGCGAUGGAGGGACGGAGAAGGCUAGGCCAGCUUGGCGUUGGUUGUCCAAGUUUAAGGUGGUAGGCUGGAAUCUUAGGUAAAUCCGGGAUUCCAAGGCCGAGAGCUGAUGACGAGUUACCCUCUGGGUGACGAAGUGGUUGAUGCCAUGCUUCCAAGAAAAGCUUCUAAGCUUCAGGUAACCAGGAACCGUACCCCAAACCGACACAGGUGGUUGGGUAGAGAAUACCAAGGCGCUUGAGAGAACUCGGGUGAAGGAACUAGGCAAAAUGGCACCGUAACUUCGGGAGAAGGUGCGCCGGUGAGGGUGAAGCACUUGCUGCGUAAGCCCACGCCGGUCGAAGAUACCAGGCCGCUGCGACUGUUUAUUAAAAACACAGCACUCUGCAAACACGAAAGUGGACGUAUAGGGUGUGACGCCUGCCCGGUGCCGGAAGGUUAAUUGAUGGGGUUAGCUAACGCGAAGCUCUUGAUCGAAGCCCCGGUAAACGGCGGCCGUAACUAUAACGGUCCUAAGGUAGCGAAAUUCCUUGUCGGGUAAGUUCCGACCUGCACGAAUGGCGUAACGAUGGCGGCGCUGUCUCCACCCGAGACUCAGUGAAAUUGAAAUCGCUGUGAAGAUGCAGUGUAUCCGCGGCUAGACGGAAAGACCCCGUGAACCUUUACUAUAGCUUUGCACUGGACUUUGAAUUUGCUUGUGUAGGAUAGGUGGGAGGCUUUGAAGCGUGGACGCCAGUCUGCGUGGAGCCAUCCUUGAAAUACCACCCUGGCAACUUUGAGGUUCUAACUCAGGUCCGUUAUCCGGAUCGAGGACAGUGUAUGGUGGGUAGUUUGACUGGGGCGGUCUCCUCCUAAAGAGUAACGGAGGAGUACGAAGGUGCGCUCAGACCGGUCGGAAAUCGGUCGUAGAGUAUAAAGGCAAAAGCGCGCUUGACUGCGAGACAGACACGUCGAGCAGGUACGAAAGUAGGUCUUAGUGAUCCGGUGGUUCUGUAUGGAAGGGCCAUCGCUCAACGGAUAAAAGGUACUCCGGGGAUAACAGGCUGAUACCGCCCAAGAGUUCAUAUCGACGGCGGUGUUUGGCACCUCGAUGUCGGCUCAUCACAUCCUGGGGCUGAAGCCGGUCCCAAGGGUAUGGCUGUUCGCCAUUUAAAGUGGUACGCGAGCUGGGUUUAGAACGUCGUGAGACAGUUCGGUCCCUAUCUGCCGUGGACGUUUGAGAUUUGAGAGGGGCUGCUCCUAGUACGAGAGGACCGGAGUGGACGAACCUCUGGUGUUCCGGUUGUCACGCCAGUGGCAUUGCCGGGUAGCUAUGUUCGGAAAAGAUAACCGCUGAAAGCAUCUAAGCGGGAAACUUGCCUCAAGAUGAGAUCUCACUGGAGCCUUGAGCUCCCUGAAGGGCCGUCGAAGACUACGACGUUGAUAGGCAGGGUGUGUAAGCGCUGUGAGGCGUUGAGCUAACCUGUACUAAUUGCCCGUGAGGCUUGACCAU